UACGUAGGUGGCAAGCGUUGUCCGGAAUUAUUGGGCGUAAAGCGCGCGCAGGCGGUCCUUUAAGUCUGAUGUGAAAGCCCACGGCUCAACCGUGGAGGGUCAUUGGAAACUGGGGGACUUGAGUGCAGAAGAGGAAAGCGGAAUUCCACGUGUAGCGGUGAAAUUCGUAGAUAUCGGGAGGAACACCAGUGGCGAAGGCGGCGAUCUGGGAAGAUACUGACGCUGAGGUGCGAAAGCGUGGGGAGCAAACAGG
rnacentral:rRNA from 1 species